CAGAACUGAAGUUGCAUGUGGAUCACAAUCCCUGAGAUAGAACGGGAAUCGGACUGGAGAAUCCGCUCUGAGAAGCCACUUUCUCUACAUUCAACUGGGAGGGCUCAGGGAAGACCUGGAGGUAGAAAUCAUUUUCUUCUCCCUGAUAGGCUUAAUGGAUUGUUUAUGAUUAUUUAGGGAGACAGGUUUAAUAAACCUGAGUACAGUUACCUUCUGGCUAUCAGCAUACUCGCUGUAGCAGCCAGGAAGGUGCCCCUCACUCUCCCUUCAAGAGAAAACUUAUCUUCAGCUGCAAGGAGUACCGUGAACUGACAGCCUCUGGCUGUAGCACUGUCAGGAUCCUGGGCAGCCCGGCCAAUAGCUACACACCGUACUGGCACUUGGACAUUCUUGCACGGUGAGUGUACCUGGACACUCCUGCCCAACACAGGUUCCCUUUACUGUGCAACCUUUGUUCCAGACCUCACUGUUGAGCCAGCAGAGAUUGUGAGAACUGCUUCAUGGCCUGAAGAUUUCCCUACUCCAUCUGCUCCUUCCCCCUUUGAUCUUUUCCAGGCAGUAACCCCCACUAAGCUUCUUUUACUCCUAAUUCCAGCAUCUGCUUCUCAAAGAACCUAACAGAUAUACUCACUGAACUUUAAACUCUGAACAUUAUGCACCAUGACCUGUUUUUUUUGUUUUGUUUCUUGCUUUAAUCUUAUUUGAAAGAUUUUUUCAUUUUGUGUUUUUAGUUGACAAAAAUUUGUGUAUACACUUGACAUGUACACCAUGCUGUCACGUGACAUUGUAAAAUGGCUAGAUCUAGCUAUAAUACAUGGAUUACUUCACAUACUUGGUUUUUGUGAUGUGUACAUUUAAAAUCUACUCUCUUAUCAAUUUCCAAGGAUACUAUGAUUGUUAUAAAUCUUAGUAACCAUUUUGUGCAAUAGAUCUCUUGAACUUGUAUUUCCUGUCCAACUGAAAUUAUGUAUCCUAUGACCAACAUCUCUCUACCUACCCACCCACCCCUAACCCCUGGACACUACCAUUCUACUCUUUAUUUAUGUGAGUUUAGCUUUUUAAGAUCCUAUGUAUAAGUGAGAUCAUGUGGUAUUUGUCUUUCUGUACCAGACUUCUCUCACCUUAACACAAUGUCCUCUGGUUCAUCUAUGUUGUUACAAAUGACAUAAUUUCUUUCUUUUUAAAAGCUGAGUAGUAUUUCAUUGUGGUAUUGCCCACAUUCCCUUAACCAUCCAUCCUUUGAUGGACACUUAGGUUGUUUCCAUAUCCUGGUUAUAGUAAAUAUGGCAAUAGCAAACAUGGGAGUGCCAAUCUCUCUUCAGUAUACUGAUUCAUUUUUCUUUGGAUACAGGUCAAAUAUUGAAAUUGCUCUAUAUUAUUUUAUCUUUUAAAUAAGUGGGAAGACUAAUAAAACAAAGUUUCAUACUCAAGCCCAAAUCAGAUCUACCUUUAUUUUUAAAAAUCCUGUCCCCUGAGGCUUGGUGCUCAUAAACUUUAAGAACUAACCAUUUCUCUUCUUCACUUAGCAGAUUCUAUUCAUCCUUGAGAUCUUAGCCCAAAUAUCAUUUCUCCUCCACAGCUUUUUCUCAAUCCUCUUGACUCCAACUUUCCUAAGUGAUCUUAUUAUAGGUUCUUCUAGUUUAUUUAUUUAUUUAUUUAUUUUGGUACUGGGGAUUGAACUCAGGGGCACUCUACCACUAACUCUACCACUAAGCCACACCCUCAUCACUAUUUUGUAUUUUAUUUAGAUACAGGGUCUCAUUGAGUUGCUUUACACCUCACCUUAUUGAGUUGCUUGGCACCAUGCCAUUGCUAAAGCUGGCUUUGAACUUUCAAACCUCCUGCCUCAGCCUCUGAAGCCUCUGGGAUUACAGGUGUGUGCCACCUUACCCGGCAGAUUCUUCCAGUUUUUGCUUUGGCAGGAUAUGUCAAAUUUGUAGUUACUUGUCCAAGAUCAGUUGUGAGCCUAGGGGUCCCAUUGUCACAAAUCUGAACUAUUGGUCAUUGCUAAUUGCCCAGCACUGAGGACAGUGUGUGGAUCAUAGAAGCUGCUCAAUAAACAUUUGAUUAAGGGUUGAAUUUACUGAACUAGAGAUGUGAAAUGUUGGUACAGGACUAGAAUUGAAUAUAUGUACGCCUUCAUUGUGUCUUUGGACUUGAGACACCAUUUUUGCUUCCUCAUUACAGCACAAAUUCAUAGACUUGAGCGUUUUUUAGAAGAAACUUAAAGAUUAUUCAAUCUGAGGAUCCAUCUGAUGUCAGAGAUACUGCAGAACAUUCAAGCACAUGGUGGUCCAGUCUUAGCUUGAAUACUGGGGACAGAAACUACCUCUCAAGGCCACCCACCCGUUGCCUCCUGGACAGCCCCAACUCUCAGAAAGUCUGUUCUUACCCCGAUGUUCUGAUAAUCUAUUCCUGAAUCUGGGUAUAAUCUUCCUAUAGCUUUGAUCAACAAUGUGUUCAUACAGAGUAAUUUUAAAGUCUUUAUAUAACAAUAUCAAUAACCUAGAUCAACUUUGGUCCAAACUGCUUUUGAGAAAAGGAGCAAAUUUCCCCCUCUGAAUAGUAUCUCAAGUAGGAACAAAACUGGCUUUAAAUAGAAAGAGUUCCUUCACGUGUCCAUUCUGAAGAUAGCAAUUGAGUGCUAAUGUGUGACUCGGGGUGGG
rnacentral:lncRNA from 1 species